rnacentral:rRNA from 1 species
AACGAACGCUGGCGGCAUGCCUAACACAUGCAAGUCGAACGAGACCUUCGGGUCUAGUGUCGCACGGGUGCGUAACGCGUGGGAACCUGCCCUUAGGUUCGGAAUAACUCCCCGAAAGGGGUGCUAAUACCGGAUCAUGUCUUCGGACCAAAGAUUUAUCGCCUUUGGAUGUGCCCGCGUUGAAUUAGCUAGUUGGUAGGGUAAAAGCCUACCAAGGCGACGAUCCAUAGCUGGUAUGAGAGGAUGAUCAGCCACACUGGGACUGAGACACGGCCGAGACUCCUACGGGAGGCAGCAGUGGGGAAUAUUGGACCAUGGGGGAAGGCAUGAUCCAGCUAUGCCGCGUGAGUGAUGAAGGCAUUAGGGUUGUAAAGCUCUUUUACCCGGGAUGAUAAUGACAGUACCGGGAGAAUAAGCUCCGGCUAACUCCGUG